CCCUUAGAUGUUCUGGGCUGCACGCGUGCUACACUGAUAUUGCCAAUAUGUCAUUCUUAUCCGAAAUGGAUUGGGUAAUCAAGUAAUGAAAUUUCAUGCUUGGAAUCGGUAAUUGCAAUUUUAUCGUGAACGAGGAAUUCCUAGUAAGCACUAGUCAUCAGCUAAUGUUGAUUAUGUCCCUGCCCUUUGUACACACCGCCCGUCGCUACUACUGAUUGGGUGUUCGAGUGAGAUGCUUAGACCCUUGUUGCAUGGUUCAUUAUUGUGCUCCGAAAGGAAAAAGUUUCAAGCUUGAGUGUCUAGAGGAAGUAAAAGUCGUAACA
rnacentral:rRNA from 1 species